rnacentral:rRNA from 1 species
AUUGAACGCUGGCGGCAGGCUUAACACAUGCAAGUCGAGCGCGCGGCGGACGGGUGAGUAAUUUCUGGGAAACUGCCUGAUGGAGGGGGAUAACUCCUGGAAACGGUAGCUAAUACCGCAUACCAUCAGAUGUUCCCAGAUGGGAUUAGCUAGUAGGUGGGGUAAUGGCUCACCGAGGCGACGAUCCCUAGCUGGUCUGAGAGGAUGACCAGCCAAACGGGAACGGAGAGAAGGUCCAGACUCCUACGGGAGGCAGCAGUGGGGAAUAUGGCACAAUGGGCGCAAGCAUGAUGCAGCAAUGCCGCGUGUGUGAAGAAGGCCUUCGGGUUGUAAAGCACUUUCAGCGAGGAGGCGUUACUCGCAGAAGAAGCACCGGCUAACUCCGUGCCAGCAGCCGCGGUAAUUC